rnacentral:tRNA from 1 species
AAAAUCCGUCGACUUUAAAAAUCGUGAGGGUUCAAGUCCCUAUCCC